GUAACAACUCACCCUGCCCGAAUCAAUCAGCCCCGAAAAUGGAUGGCGCUUGAGCGGGGGACGUAAGCCCAACCGUUGUUGGCUUGUACGUUUCGUGCGUCUGGCCUCAACGAGUAGGUGUGUCGCGGCGGUUAGCGUCGAAGGCUUAGGGCGUAGGCCCAGCUGGAGCUUCCGUCGGUGCAGAUCUUGGUGGUAGUAGCAAAUAAUCAAGUGAGAAUCUUGAUGACUGAAGUGGAGAAGGGUUCCACGUGAACAGUAGUUGAAUGUGGGUUAGUCGAUCCUAAGAUACUGGCUAAUGCCUUGUAUCAUUGACGUCGAGCUUCGUGCUUCUCGUCUAAUAUCGAAAGGGAAACGGGUUAAUAUUCCCGUACCUGUAAAUGUGAAUUUGUGAGCGCAAGCUUGCAUUGGCGGUAACGCAUUCGAACUUGGCGAAAUCCCCCCUCCCUCCCUCCCUCCCCCCUCUCGGUUGUGCAGAUACUGCGUGCAUGCGAGAGGAGUUGGAGAGUACUCAUUGAGAUGCUCCUUCUUUUACAGAUUCGAUGAUUCGAACACGCUGUUCGAUCGCCAGACGAUGGUC
rnacentral:ncRNA from 1 species